UCUCCAGGUGAGCUGGGCUUUCUCGAAACUGGCUGCUGGGAUCUGGUAUUUCAUCACCUCCUUGCCCAACUUAGCAGAAGUGAGCCUGGUUCCCUACUGGGCCUGAGGAAGCAGAUUUCUAUACAGGGGAAGAGGACCUUCCCUCUCUCCUAAUCCCAUCAGAUUCAGAAGCAGGAGCGAGGAGAAUCAACUCCAGAAGUAGUAUUUAAAAGAGCGUAAGGUGCGGAGUCUGAAGUCUUGUUGAACUGAAAUAAAAGCUUUGCUUACCGCCAGCGGCGCCAGGUACGUGAACCUCACUCAGCUCACGUCCAGAAAACGAAGCUAGUCAUGCUGCUUUCACAGCACAGAAAGCAAUCCAAGGAAUACUCCCGAAGACCCUUUCCAGGUACAGCACCUGCCAACACCAGCUGCCCGUGUCACACCAUUGAGCUCCCAGCGUCCCAGCUUCCCCAGCCCCUGAGCCACCCCCCCCCCCCAACUCCUAGACUCCUCCAAGGGCUUCCCCUAUUGCCAACGCUUUCAGGGGAGGGGUCAGUUUGAGGAUCUUUAGAAUUUUCCAUUCCAGCCCCCCAGUUUAACCCUGAAAGAUAAUUGAGCUUAUCACGAAUGCAAUCUCAUUAAGGACAAGGGGCAGAGCAGCUGCUGCCCCGCUGGCUGGCUCACUCCAAUGUUGCAGGGAGAGCAGGAAAUAAAACCCCUCCAGCUUCAGUUCGCAGGGGAAACAAAUCCUGGGCAGCUCGGCAUUUGCUUAAUCAAGGAAGCGGGCGCUGCGGGCUGCUGCGGGCUGCUGCGGGCUCUGGUUCACUCCUCCCCAGUGCUUGAGCACCUCUCCCUCUCAGCUGUGCCACCUGACUGCAGGGCGGCUGACAACCAGCCACUGGCCCCAGACCCUCCCUGAAGUGGGUCUGGGUGCCUUUAAUCACAUUUACAGCUUGGAGGAGGAGGAGGCUGGGGUAAAGUUCAGCAGCCGUUUGCAGAGAGUUUUAGGCAAUAUCCUGCAACUCUUUCACAGGCCCUGAGGUUGCGGGGCUGGCCUUUCAGACACGCUUGGGUAAAGGGGCUGCAGAAACAGGAUUCUCCACUCUCUCCCCGACUCGAGAAGCUGGAUGCAAGCUGACCACCCCCACCCCCCACUCCAGGCAGAUGGGUAACCUCGGAUCUGGCCUUCCAGCUCCCAGAACUUAGGGCCAUUUCAGGGGGACAGCCCUUAUAAAACCAAAAUUGCUUUCUGGGAGACAGAUGUAUUGUUCCGAAAUGCUUCAGAGAAGGCAGUGGAAGGAGAGCCCCUCUUCCCUUGCCCACUGGAAAAAGGGUUGGCUCUGGGCAACAUCUCACAGUGGGCGAUCAGACAUUACAAACGGUCAGCUGAGAAUGACUGCACCAUGCCCAGGCCACCAGGUGUUCCAUGGCCUGCCUGCUAUGCCCUCUAAUGGAUGACCUCUUCCCCUAGCUUUUGCCUCUAAGAAAAGUAUUCACCCCUAUAUCUACGAAGAAAAACAAAUACUCUGAGAUAUAAGCAGCUGACAAGUGUUUAUCGCCAGCCAACCAGCCAAAAACAUCAGCAAGCAAGUGGUUUUCCUUUAACACUGAGCCCAAACCAAGAAGCUACUCUGGGGGCAGGACGGGGCACCAGGAAGGCAGGUGCCACAUGGCACCGGUCUCCGAGCCCCAGCCCUAAGAAGCCGGCCAGCAGAGGCAGCUCGGGAGGCUGGCUUCUCUGCGGGGAGAUGAGCACAGGGUCCUGGAGGAAGUAUGAGCCAUAGAGGCCCCCCUGGCGUUUCUGCCCUGAGCCUCUAAGAAGGUGAUCAGUUCCCGACAACUGCACUCCCCUGGGGUAUCUAACUGCAUUGCUGUGGCCCCUGCACAAAGGGCAGAGCCCCACAGCCCCAGCAGGGUCCCAAAGGACCAUAGAGCGCCCCAAGCCCACUGUUGGUUUGCGUCUAACUGAGCGUACACGGGGCACCGAGCUUGCCCAGGCCCUUCAGUGCGGGAUCACAGGACAAGUCCCAUCCUGACCCCUGAGAACCUUUUGCAAGCCCCUCAACUUCCCUCCUGAGUGACAAAGAACAGGAAGGAAGACCUCCAAGGGGGAGAUGAACACCAGCUGACUGAGCACUGGGCCAGUACCAGCAGGGAGCCUAAGAGGAGACUCAGUGGUUAGAGAUCAUAGGUCCUGGCCCCUGGGGCCUCAAUGGCAGACCGGGACCAUUCCAGACAUCUGCCCAGCCCCGGAAGGGCCUGACGCGUCUCGAGAGAGCCCCCAGAAGGGAAAUUUUUGGAGCACAAAGUUUAGAAACCCUGGUGCAUGCCAAAUUAACUUAAGCAGUGUAUUACAAACAUCCCCAGUCAAGUGGGGAUCUCAGCUGAAAAAAGACCGGCCUCUACCCAUAUUUUGACACAAAAUUGUCUCCGCGUGUAACCACGUCCUGUUUCUCGAAUGAAGUUCUUGAGACCACCUGCAGUCGUAACACUCCCUCAGCUCACCCCCUUCAUUUUACUUGAAUGCCUGUGAUAAAGGCACCCUCGUGGCGUUGGAAAAGAACAUCCCUACCCUUUCCUUUUAUCUUCACUUAACAGUUUGCCAUCCAGUGAUAGGAGGGGCCUCGCCUCCAACAGUCCGCCCUUUUAUCUCCGGCUGACCACGCAACUACACCAAGCCAAGGGCUGGAUUUCCUGCAGCGCCCUCCGAGGGGCUGUUGGACUUGUUUAAAAUAUGACUGGCCUCCAGAACCUUGGAACAAUGCCUGAGCAACACCUACCCAGCAUCCAUUUCAGCUCCAGCCUUGAAAGCCUCCAAGUCCAACGUACCAGGACUCCUAGUGCCUCGGUGUGGGAGGCUUACUGCCUCCGAGCAAGAGAACUCACUUUCCAGUCGGCCCCCAAUGUAAGGGCCACCUUCGUCAAUGUCCAGAAACCUUAGAUGCUACCUACAGUAGCUCAAGUUAAACUCUGAGUUUCCACUAUUAUUAUUAUAGUAACUCAGAGGCACUGAAUCCCAUCCUUUAGCCGCUGGAACACAGAGCAGUAUGCCAUGUGCUUUCUCACAGAAGCCUGGGAACACACAGCACCCAUCAUCUGCAGCGUGAGGAUACGCUGACCUCUGACCACAGGCCAAGCUCUGUGUAUGAGACUUGGCUAUGCUAGAAGGCAUAGGUCCCCAGCUCAAACUCUCACCUGCUCUGAACACCACAAGCAUUCCUGCGAACAUCAAGGUUGGCCAUGACGGCAAACUCCUAUUUUUGUGGCGGACCAAGGCUACUAUGGGACAGCCAUGCCACUUAUGUGAUGGGACAACCAGGAGUUCACCCAUCAGAGCACAGAGGACCCCAACUCCCUGCCAUUCGAGGCUGUGAGUUCCAUCUUCUUGGCAUCACACCAGCGUAUGUGAGGUAAAUGGUCUCAGAGAACGACACGAUCAGAUGUUUCAAACAGUCCACCAGAGUUCCCGGAGUAGAAGAAAAAAGUCUUCACAAAGUCAAAUAAAAAGAAGAAAAACUUCCUUGUCUACGUCCCCCUUAGCCCCUCACAAUCUCCCAAGGAAGAGGGUUCAGGGUUGGGGGGAGGGAGGGGGGCCAGGCGGCGGAGUGAUGGCAGUAGGCAAGGCCAUAGGUUAGACCCGAGGCAAACGAGUAACGGAAACCAGGCCAAACCAGGCCAUAGGUGACAUUUGCAACACAAAUUUCUGUGCCAUCACUCCAAGACGGAGCCAGUGUUUUUAGGAUCCCUCUUUAUGAGGCCCAGAUAAUAAACAAGAGCAUAGAAAGACCAGCUCAGCCACAUGGUCCCCACGUAAAACGCAGGAGGCUGCACUCUGUGUGGCCCUUCUCCUGCUGCCAUGGGGCUCGGCCCUGUCGCUGGCCUGUCACUGAACAGGAGCCAGCUCCCUGGCUCGGCCUCACGGGCCAAACAGCAGGCGCUCUGCAACGUCCUCCGUUUCCUCCCAGCCAUGAAGUCAGAACAACCUGUACAGACAAAGAGAAGCGAAAACUUGCGAAACAAGGGCACCUACCCUGCUCACUGAAUGUGCCCGAGGAGACUUUCUCAGAGACCUUUUCAGAUGCUUCACUGCAAUUCUGGAAAGAAAAGGCAGUCCCCUACACCCAGGCACGCACAUGUUCACACAAACCCAAUUUCAUGCUCUGCCGGGCCCACCACUGCAAUGCAGAAGUCAAACCAGAACUCCAGAGCAUGGCCCCCGGUUACUUAACGGAUUUGGAAUUGUAACUGACACUUUUCCAUAAACUCUGUAGAGGCCGGUGACAUCCUGGCAUGUUCCCAAUCUGGAAACAGAGUCUUCCUAAGGCCGGGAAGGGAGAAAGGCCUAAGAGAUUAUACAAUGAUCUGCUACCUGACUACAGAAAAAAAUGCUGUUUGCAAGAAAGAGAUGUGGGGGGAGAAAGUCUCUACUGUCUCUUUAUUCCUUGUAGUUAACCCUAACAUUAUGCUCUAGCCAAGGCAAGAAUAAUCCUUUUAGGGUUUCACCCACAAGAAGCUACUAAUUGUGAUAACUUUUUUUUUUUUUUUUUAAACCCUAUCGGCUGAGAUUCAUUCAACAGGACUAGAGUUUGGAAGACAGGCAAAGUAAUUCCAGUUCUAUCUGAUAUAAAGAUCUCGAAAGGACCAUGCUACUGGUAGGAGUCAUGUAUUCUGCACAACCCGAAUUUAUAAUCAAAUGUGAUUAUUCACAUGAGGCAAAUGCUCCUUUAAAUUUUUUUAGCUUGGAGAAACAGAAAACCGAGGGACACGUUAAUCCGCCAGAUCUGCCAGGCUCACGACUUUCACAGCUUCUCCCUACUUUAUUUACUAUGGCUUUAGCCACUAGGCAGAUUUCACUUUAAAAACGGAGUCUCCUUAGUCUCCUGGGGUCUGACUUCCAGGCCCAUCCUUGCUGCUUUCUGUGAAUUCAAGCCAAAGUCCAGGAAGAGUGCACAGAAAAUGUGCAUUCUCGGCAAAGGGUUAAAAUGCAUUGCUGAAGAUGUUCUGUACUUUCUUUGUGCCCUUGAAGCAGGGUGAUUUUUGGUAUCAGUCUGGAAAACCUGAGACAGCGUGGUGGCCAUUCUGAGACGUUAGUGUACGGACCUCCCAGAGAUGAAAGCCACCAGGAGCUGUAGGACAGAGCCCCCUGGCCUGGAAAUUGAGGAGACAGGGCACAAGGAGGUACAUUUCAAUCCAUGGGAAAGUAAAUCAUGAGCCAAGCACUUUAGGGCUGACAGGUUCCCAAGGUGUAAGUCAUCGAGCAUGAGGGCAGUAGGGCAGAAGCAAAGAUGAGCUUACAGAAAAGAUCUGGCUUUCAGAAGACAGGGCGUUCCAGUUAGAAGGAAAUGUACAGCCACCCAAGAGGUCUGGACCGGUCGUGGCGUCACGAAAGCGCAGGCUGCUGCGUGCCUACAUUUUCACCCUCCUCGAGUAAAAUAAGGAAAAACAGACAGUUUGCUGGGAUACUCACAAUGCUGAAUGCAUUCUUUUCUGAGGUUCAGGUGCCCCCUUUUACAAUGAGAUGGUUGAGACUGGUUAUUAAUGGUGAUUUCUUUAUGGCAAAAGAAAAAAAAAUAAAGCCACCCCUUGAGUCUACCUGCAGAAGUAUUGCCUUGAGUUUCUAGACCCUAAAAACAAAACCCUUGGGAGCCAUCAGGCUAUAUGCCAUGUGACAUCUGAAAGGAGGGAGAGUGGAGCAGGGCGAAGGGCAGGGAUGGGGUGGCCAAACUAUGCUGGUGUCAAAGUUCCAUCCACGGGGACGGACUUCAUCCUGCGGCUAUGAGAACCCACUGAAGGUCCACCACUUCCCUUUCAGAAAAAACAAAAACUUGUGAGACGAAGUAAUACGACCCACAUUUUUAAAAAGUUCUUGGCGGCAGUUAAAGAAAUGGACAAUUAAGGCACGUAACCCAGUUAGGAGGCCACUGCCGUAUGAGGGACAGACAGUAGGACUGUGGGAUCCACGAAGACAUCACCAAGGGCCGGACCUCGCCAUGGAAUGAGGCCUAUCCUAUAAAACUCCCGGUCUGCGGGAACUGACAGCAUCUAGAACAGCGAAGUCCAGGUGAAAGUUCUCCAACAAUGAAAAUGGCCUCUGUCUGGGCAGCCCAAUAUGGUAACCGCUAACCACGCGUGGCCACUGAGCACCUGAACGGAGACUAAUGGAACUAAGGAACUCCAUUUAAAAAUUUUACUUAAGUUUAAUUUAAAUUUAAAUAGCCACAUGUGGCUACCAGCUGUUGUACUGGAUAGUGUAGGUUUAUGGUAUUUUUUUUUUUCCUCCAGUAAUCUUGGGUUACUAGACUGCUGUCCUUCAUUUGUUUGCUUCCUGGGGUUUUUAAGCCCUGGAGCAGGAGUAAGGAUGAUCUGGCAUGGUUUUACCUGCAGGCAUGAGAAAGAAGUGAGCUGAUCCCAGAAGUAAUACACUUUGCUAUGAGUUUUCUUUCUUCCCAGAGUUUACCAGAGUUUCAAUGCAUAAAGGGAAAUCACCCAUGAAACCAACAACAGAGGGACAUCUCCUAAGCCAGACUGAUUUCUUCUUGCUGUCAGAGGUUAAAACGAAACGAAACAAACUUGUUUGAAAAAAUUAACCGACGGGAGCAGCCAUCACCCUUCAACUGACUCGGAGGGAACUAUAUUUCACCCGAGGCCCUCAAACACGGUGUGAUGAUAAAAAUGCUUUUGUUGGUCACCUCAGCUGCUAACUAUGGCUCCAGCGCUAGACCUGGGGUGUGUGUGGGGGGGGUGUUCUAGAAGCUCACCACCUGGGUGAGGGAAAGCAGCAGCGACAAGAAGGUAAGGUCUAGGCCAUCCUAAGUUAACGUCCAGGGGAAAUACUGGGGCGCGUGAGUGGAGGGGCGUGAGGCGUGAAG